rnacentral:rRNA from 1 species
GUGUCAGCAGCCGCGGUAAUACAGAGGGUGCAAGCGUUGUUCGGAAUUACUGGGCGUAAAGCGCGCGCAGGCGGCUUCUUAAGUCUAUGGGUGAAAGACCGGGGCUCAACCCCGUGUCAGCCCGGGAUACUGGGGAGCUAGGGACAUGUAGGGGCGAGCGGAAUUCCGGGUGUAGCGGUGGAAUGCGUAGAGAUCCGGAAGAACACCUGGGGCGAAGGCGGCUCGCUGGGCAUGAUCCGACGCUGAGGCGCGAAAGCGUGGGGAGCGAACAGGAUUAGAAACCCUUGUAGUCC